AGGAUGACGGGAGCUUGCUCCCUGAUUUAGCUGGCGACGGGUGAGUAAUGCCUAGGAAUCUGCCUGGUAGUGGGGGAUAACGUUCCGAAAGGAACGCUAAUACCGCAUACGUCCUACGGGAGAAAGCAGGGGACCUUCGGGCCUUGCGCUAUCAGAUGAGCCUAGGUCGGAUUAGCUAGUUGGUGAGGUAAUGGCUCACCAAGGCGACGAUCCGUAACUGGUCUGAGAGGAUGAUCAGUCACACUGGAACUGAGACACGGUCCAGACUCCUACGGGAGGCAGCAGUGGGGAAUAUUGGACAAUGGGCGAAAGCCUGAUCCAGCCAUGCCGCGUGUGUGAAGAAGGUCUUCGGAUUGUAAAGCACUUUAAGUUGGGAGGAAGGGCAUUAAGCUAAUACCUUGCUGUUUUGACGUUACCGACAGAAUAAGCACCGGCUAACUUCGUGCCAGCAGCCGCGGUAAUACGAAGGGUGCAAGCGUUAAUCGGAAUUACUGGGCGUAAAGCGCGCGUAGGUGGUUCGGUUAAGUUGGGAUGUGAAANCCCCGGGGCUCAACCUGGGGAACUGCAUCCAAAACUGGCGAGCUAAAAGUACGGUAGAGGGUGGUGGGAAUUUCCUGUGUAGCGGGUGAAAUGCG
rnacentral:rRNA from 1 species